rnacentral:misc_RNA from 1 species
UCAAGAUGUACACCUGCAUAAGCACACACACACACACGAGAAGACAUCAGCGGCCCUGCACGUACGGGUUUGUGCGUCAAGGGGCGCAUGCAGACGCACAUUGGUAAUUUUUUGGUUGUCUUUUCGCUAUCGGCCCUCUCCACGGCCCCGCCACCUCUCUGUUUGCAUGUAGAAUAGAGCAGCGCUUUUUCCCCGUUUUCAGUGCACCAUUUCAACACAAACACGCCGACAGAUAUAUAAACGCGCGCACAACCGCCUCUCCUCCACCUCUGCUGCACCGCGGCGAUGGCAAGGAACCGCACCUGCCAGCGCUGUUGGGUGUCGUUCAGCCCACCGCAAUGCCACUGCAUACAGCAUACGCUAGGCCCAGGAGUACGCUCAACACCGCUGCAAUGCAGCAACGACAGAAAAAAAGCACGCUGCUGGUGGAUGCGUGCAUUCGUUGCAUCGCGGGCACGGCUUGUGGCGAGCUCGCCCAAGCGUCAUCGUGGCCGUGUGUCUCUUUCGCACAGCGCCGAUACCGACGUGUACGCUGACGUCAAGAGCCCGCCAGCCGUACCCGAGGGCAGGCUGCAGACUGCUUGCAGUCCCCCACAAAGAGUGGGGGUAUAAUGAGGCCCUGAUACCACGGUGAGGGCCCCCAACAUCAUCUAGGAGCACUUGAAGACUCAAAAGGAAAAUUCGGAAGUGCGAAAGAGUAAGGGAUAUUAUUGCCUCUAGUUGGGUGAGUGUUGUAGCGCCACCGCAACCCCUUCGCUCCCCUCAGAUAUCCGUGUGCAGCGUAGGUUGUCAUCAUCGGCAAGGGUCGCCGCGUCUUUUUGGGAAGGCAGCUGCUGAGGAACGCGCUCGGUGACGACCGUGCCGCCGCUCACGCGAUGGUCUCUCUUUCUCUCUUAUCUCUCCCUCUCAUUCAGCUCUUUACUCACCUCGCCACUCCUCUUGCCCGGUUCGCCACGUAACGCGGAUGGUCCCCGCUUGGAGCUGAGUAG